rnacentral:rRNA from 1 species
GACGAACGCUGGCGGCGUGCUUAACACAUGCAAGUCGAACGGAAAGGCCCUGCUUGCAGGGUACUCGAGUGGCGAACGGGUGAGUAACACGUGGGUGAUCUGCCCUGCACUUCGGGAUAAGCCUGGGAAACUGGGUCUAAUACCGGAUAGGAGCCAUUUUUAGUGUGAUGGUUGGAAAGUUUUUUCGGUGUAGGAUGAGCUCGCGGCCUAUCAGCUUGCUGGUGGGGUAAUGGCCUACCAAGGCGGCGACGGGUAGCCGGCCUGAGAGGGUGGACGGCCACAUUGGGACUGAGAUACGGCCCAGACUCCUACGGGAGGCAGCAGUGGGGAAUAUUGCACAAUGGGCGCAAGCCUGAUGCAGCGACGCCGCGUGGGGGAUGACGGCCUUCGGGUUGUAAACUCCUUUCGCUAGGGACGAAGCUUUUUGUGACGGUACCUAGAUAAGAAGCACCGGCUAACUACGU